UACAGAGGUCUCAAGCGUUGUUCGGAUUCAUUGGGCGUAAAGGGUGCGUAGGUGGCGAGGUUAGUCAGGUGUGAAAUCUCGGGGCUCAACCCCGAAACUGCACUUGAUACUGCCUUGCUAGAGUACUGGAGAGGAGAUUGGAAUUUACGGUGUAGCAGUGAAAUGCGUAGAUAUCGUAAGGAAGACCAGUGGCGAAGGCGGAUCUCUGGACA
rnacentral:rRNA from 1 species